GGCGCACGGGUGCGUAACACGUAUGCAACUUACCCUUUACUGGGGCAUAGCUCAGAGAAAUCUGAAUUAAUUCCCCAUAACGCUAUUGAGUCGCAUGACUCGAUAGCUAAAGUUCCGGCGGUAAAGGAUAGGCAUGCGCUGUAUUAGCUAGUUGGUGAGGUAAUGGCUCACCAAGGCUACGAUACAUAGGGGUUCUGAGAGGGCGAUCCCCCACACUGGUACUGAGACACGGACCAGACUCCUACGGGAGGCAGCAGUAGGGAAUAUUGGGCAAUGGUCGCAAGACUGACCCAGCCAUGCCGCGUGCAGGAAGACGGCCCUCUGGGUUGUAAACUGCUUUUAUCUGGGAAGAAAAAGUCCAUGCGUGGAAAAUUGCCGGUACCAGAUGAAUAAGCACCGGCUAACUCCGUGCCAGCAGCCGCGGUAAUACGGAGGGUGCAAGCGUUGUCCGGAUUUAUUGGGUUUAAAGGGUGCGUAGGCGGCUGAAUAAGUCAGCGGUGAAAGACUUCGGCUUAACCGGAGCAGUGCCGUUGAUACUGUUUAGCUUGAGUGUUGGAGGGGUACAUGGAAUUGAUGGUGUAGCGGUGAAAUGCAUAGAUACCAUCAGGAACACCGAUAGCGAAGGCAUUGUACUGGCCAACAACUGACGCUGAGGCACGAAAGUGUGGGGAUCGAACAGGAUUAGAUACCCUGGUAGUCCACACCGUAAACGAUGAUUACUCGCUGUUAUGGUGUAUGCUGUAGCGGCCAAGCGAAAGCGUUAAGUAAUCCACCUGGGGAGUACGCCGGCAACGGUGAAACUCAAAGGAAUUGACGGGGGUCCGCACAAG
rnacentral:rRNA from 1 species